UAGUCUCGAGAACAACCAGACACAAGUAACACUUAUAAGAGAACGGACGUUUGAAUAAACAAGUUGUCUGUUGAAUUAUUAAUAUUUACGUGACGGAACAGGAAUUAAAAAAUGGCGAGUUAUUGCUUUUUAAUAGCUUUGAUGAUAAUUGCUGCGCAAAUGAAUGACGCCCGAAACAUUGGAACUGCUCUAGUCAAGGUCGGAGAUAGCAACAACAGUUCUACGCCGUAUAUCACAUACGAGGAAUUACUGUACAUUCUAAAAUAUAGACAUGGUGAGGAAAAUACAAGACCGAAAUAUUUAACACCGUGUGCGCGAGCUAUUUUAGGGUGUUGUAACAACAAAAUAAUGAAUGAAUAUUGUUCUGAAUCCCUAAAGUGUGGAUCUUAUUUCUUUGAUGACAAUCC